AUAAAAAACCAAUACAUACUUUUUCAAGUAUGAAAUUUGGUGAUUUACAAUAACUUAGCAAAUCGCAUAGUGAAAACAGGCGAUAAAUCAUUCAAGUUUCUGACCUAUCAGCUUUCGACGGUAUGGUAUUGGCUUACCGUGGCAGUGACGGUUAACGGGGGAUUAGGGUUCGAUUCCGGAGAGGGAGCCUGAGAAACGGCUACCACAUCUAAGGAAGGCAGCAGGCGCGCAAAUUACCCAAUUCUAACAGCAUAAGAGAGGUAGUGACAAGAAAUAACAAUACAAGGCAGUUAAAAUGCUUUGUAAUUGGAAUGAUAGAAAUUUAAACACUUUUUAAAGUAUCAAUUGGAGGGCAAGUCUGGUGCCAGCAGCCGCGGUAAUUCCAGCUCCAAUAGCGUAUAUUAAAAUUGUUGCAGUUAAAAAGCUCGUAGUUGAAUUUCUGUUAAAAAUAACCGGUCUGCUUUUAAUAAAAGUGGUAUCUUGGUGUGUUUUUAGCAAUAAUGUCCUUUGAAAUGUUUUUUACUUUAUUGUAAUAAAUAAUAUUCAGGAUUUUUACUUUGAGAAAAUUAGAGUGUUUCUAGCAGGCUAACGCUUUGAAUA
rnacentral:rRNA from 1 species